GACGAACGCUGGCGGCGCGCUUAACACAUGCAAGUCGAACGGAAAGGCCUGCUUUCCCUUGUGGAUUGCGGGUACUCGAGUGGCGAACGGGUGAGUAACACGUGAGUGAUCUGCCCCCAACUUGGGUAUAAGCCUGGGAAACUGGGUCUAAUUCCCGAUAGGACUGCAGGGUGGUGCCUGUGGUGGAAAACGAUUUUCUAGUGGUUGGGGAUGAGCUCGCGGCCUAUCAGCUUGUUGGUGGGGUAAUGGCCUACCAAGGCGGCGACGGGUAGCCGGCCUGGGAGGGUGGACGGCCACAUUGGGACUGGGAUACGGCCCAGACUCCUACGGGAGGCAGCAGUGGGGAAUAUUGCACAAUGGGCGGAAGCCUGAUGCAGCGACGCCGCGUGGGGGAUGACGGCCUUCGGGUGGUAAACUCCUUUCGACCGCGAGGAAGCCACCUGGUUGGAAGGGUGGUGACGGUAGUGGUAGAAGAAGCACCGGCUAACUACGUG
rnacentral:rRNA from 1 species